AUUAAAAUACAUAUAGAACAAAUUUGAAGAUGUAAGCAUUUCAUAGAAUCGAGAGCCCCUAGUUGUUUUACAUAUUACAGAAAAAUAACAAAAAUUAAGUUAAAAAGAAAGUUGUAAAUUUCGUAAGAAAUUUAAGUCAACAGACAAUGUUUCUUCUAGCUGUUACAACAUUGUGUUCUUGUUCAUACUCUUGUUCAAUAUGUGUGUGCAAGCCAGCAUAACCAAAAAAAAAAAACAAGAAUAGAAGAAUAAUACAUAAAAAAGCAACUGCUGCUGGCCAAGUGCUUUGAGAGCUAAAAGCAUGUUAUCAGUCAUCUUACGUGUCAACGGGGCUCGAACCAAAUACCACAUACCAAAUACCAAAUAUUGUACAAUAUGUACGCACGGAGAGGAAAAGGGGGCAUUAAAGGCCAGACAAGGACACAAACUCGAACACGAGACGCAUUUUGUUAACUGUUUCUGCUUUGUUUUUGUAUUUUUGAUAUUUCUUGAGCAUUAAACUUUGAUGAGUUAUCACACCACUUGUGGCAUGUGAAAUUUGUUGAGGUGUCUGGGAAUUUAUGCCCCAUCGACUGACUUGCACGUUAUUUAUGUUCAUGACCUUUAAUGGCAGCCCAUCUGCUGGCAGGAGCAGGAGGUCGCGUAGCUGCAGAAGGAGGAGGAGGAGGAGGAGGAGGGCACACGCAGCGCCAUCAAACAAAUUGCCAUGGCGAAGCGUGCGUCUUGUGGUAUGCACAUUGAAUUUUGAUAUGGGAUAUGCGAUGUGGUAUGUGGAUCAGGAUAAGGCACAACUGUUGGCUCCCAGUGCCCGGCAAAAGAUUAAUUGAUACAUGUCCAUUUUGUGUUGACAAGCAGCCAGCAAGAAAUCUCCUCACAAUAGAAGCAACAACAACGACAAUAAAGGUACAACUAUGGCCAAAUAUAAAUGACAUACAAUAAGGCCAGGACACUUUUAUCGCUCCCAGUUGAUAAUAAACAAUCUGGGACAAGGCAUUAAAAAACACACACAACAACAACAACAAUAACAAUAGUUGUAUAUA